GCAAACUUGGUCAUUUAGAGGAAGUAAAAGUCGUAACAAGGUUUCCGUAGGUGAACCUGCGGAAGGAUCAUUAAGGAUUUUGUGCCCCUCGUGCACUAAAAACCUCCCUCGAUUCUCACACCUGUGCACAACCGCUCGCUCGUGGCCGCAAGGCCGCGCUGCUUGCCCAAUAUUAUAAACGUCUUUGUCUUAUGCGAACGUAAUGAUUUAUAAGAACACAACUUUCAACAAUGGAUCUCUUGGCUCUCGCAUCGAUGAAGAACGCAGC
rnacentral:misc_RNA from 1 species